rnacentral:rRNA from 1 species
GUGGGGAAUCUUAGACAAUGGGCGCAAGCCUGAUCUAGCCAUGCCGCGUGAGCGAUGAAGGCCUUAGGGUUGUAAAGCUCUUUCGUGGGGGAAGAUAAUGACUGUACCCCAAGAAGAAGCCCCGGCUAACUCCGUGCCAGCAGCCGCGGUAAUACGGAGGGGGCUAGCGUUGUUCGGAAUUACUGGGCGUAAAGCGCACGUAGGCGGACUGGAAAGUCAGGGGUGAAAUCCCGGGGCUCAACCCCGGAACUGCCUUUGAAACUCCCAGUCUUGAGUUCGAGAGAGGUGAGUGGAAUUCCGAGUGUAGAGGUGAAAUUCGUAGAUAUUCGGAGGAACACCAGUGGCGAAGGCGGCUUCCUGGCACAAUACUGACGCUCAUGUGCGAAAGCUAGGGCAGCGAACGGGAUUAGAUACCCCUGUAGUCC